rnacentral:lncRNA from 1 species
UUAACACUGCUGGGGGACUAGAGGAAUUCCAUGAAAAAUGGAAAGACUCAGCCAGGAAACAAAAGGAACGUCUGCAGGGGAACAGGUAGAUCAUGAUAAAACUGAAAUACUCGAACCAUGCAGGAAAAGCGACUUCACUAAGGAAAUAAACACUCAACUCAACUGGGGAAGAAAUAAACUUCAACACAAGAGGAUCAUAAAUAUAUUAUCAACUACCUGC